rnacentral:rRNA from 1 species
CUCAUUAAAUACAGUUAUAGUUUUAUUUGAUGGUCUCUUUUUGUCUUUUUUUACCUACUUGGAUAACCGUGGUAAUUCUAGAGCUAAUACAUGCGCAAGGUCCCAAGCGCGGAGGGUAGGGCUUCACGGCUCUAUUCUUGCAUGCGUAGCGGGAUGUAUUUAUUAGGUUAAACAACCAGCAUCUUCAUCAUCUGGUGAUUCAUAGUAACUCUUUCGGAUCGCAUUCAUG